rnacentral:lncRNA from 1 species
AAAUUCUUACGUCCCUGAAAGUUCAUCAUCACAAGAUUCACAACAGAAUAAUUUUGCUCACUUUCAGAUAUUAAAAAGGUUCGAAAAUUGAUUCUUUGGAGAAUUAGGCAUUUUUUGUGCCUAAAGUUGAUAGAAAACAACUCUAAAAUAUUAUCUGAGUUCUCUCAACCCAUAAUUUUGAAAGAAUAACUUUUGCUAAGUUCUCAAACAAAAUUUCUCACUGAAUUCAUCAAACUUAGUCAAACUUAAUAAGUUCAUUUUUCUAGGUUAUGCAUCCCAACAAAAAGGAUACAAAUGUUAUUCCCCAAUCACUAGAAAAAUGUAUACAUCCAUGGAUUUCACCUUUGAAAAUCAGUCUUUGGAAGUUAAUUCUACCUCCACCAUUCUAACCAUUCCCAUCACCACUGAAAUCUCAUCUCCUAUCAUAGAUGAGUUAAAGAAGGUAACUUUUUGGCAGCCAGUCAUUGAUAAAAUUCAAGGCAAAUCGGAAAAAUGGAAGAGAUAUAGCCUAUCAAGGGGAGGCCAAGACACUAUGCAAAUCUUUCUUUCUCAUCUUACAACUUAUUACAUGUCAAUUUUUUUCUUAUUAUUAAUAAAGAAGUUUGUUUCCGUUUCAAAAAAAACUUAUUACAUGUCAGUUUUUCUGAUGCCGAAAAAGGUAAUUCAAGAAGUUAAACAUAUUAUGACAAAUUUUCUUUUGGGAAGGUCAUAAGGGGGCUGGAUCAUCUUGUCAAAUGGGGAAACAAAAAAAAUUAGCUUUAUUAGCUAAGUGGGGAUGGAGAUUCACAAAGGAAGAAAAUGCCUUAUGACGUCAAGUGGUGAAAUGUAUCCAUGAAAGCAGUUUGGCGUUUUUAAAGGAAGCGAGCCUCUUCAUUAAUAUAAUGAAACGAGACUAAUGCUCAAAGUACAAGAGAAAUAUAGAAAGAGCUUGAAUUUCUAAGGGACAAAGAAACUGGAAACCAAAUACACGGACAAACAAAACGUGGCCCAAGAGCUAAACAAACUCCAAACAAGACAGAAAAACAACCAAAACAGCAGCUGAAAAAAAAUCAAUAUAAUUAAGGAGGUGUCAACCUAGUUGAGAUGUCCGGGUGCACCUUUUGAUAUCCCUAAUUUUUCUUUUGCUUGUUUAGACUUCUUUAUUACGCUUAUUGUAUAUUUCUUUUGUGCAUUGAGUUCUUUUUAUUAAUAAAGAAGUUUGUCUCCGUUCGGCAGCAUUAUGAAGAUUGUCUCUUGGAACACUAGGGGUUUGAAUGAUUCCUCCAAACGUGCAACACUCAAAAAGUCCAUCUUUAGUCUCUCUGGGUUUUUCUCUUCAUGGAGGGGAUAAGUAAAGCCAAUUUGCUGAUGCUGAUAUUUUGAAAGAUUUUUUUGCAUCUUCUUGCUAGUCUCUAUCUAGAUUCGAGUGUUUUCUUUUUUAGAGUUCAUGCGGCAACUUCAUUGGAAAAAUCGUGAGGAACUUCUUUUGGAAAGGAUUUGCUGGUGGCAAGAUCAAUUAUCUAGUAAAAUGGAGCUUGGUUUCCCUUCCAUUAAAAGAUGUGGGUCUCAGUCUAGGAGGCAUUAAAAUUCAAAAUUCAGCUUUGCUUUCUAAGUGGGGUUGGAGAUAUUCAAAGGAAGAUUCAGCUUUCUAGAGGAGAAUUAUUUGCAGUAUCCAUAGCAAAGAUACAUUUGAUAGGUUCACUUUGGGAAAUCUGGAAAUAGCCUAAGGAGUCCUUGGGUUAAUAUCUCUAGAAUUGAUGUAAUUCAAAGUUGGAUUUGGACCCUUUUUUUAUCCAAGAAUUCAAUCUGCCAUUCUCAAUAGGAGAAUGGUUAUUUAUAGAUGUGAGUGAUAGUUUACAGUUAGUUGUUUGGGUGUAACUAAUCAGUUAUUGUAACUGAUUAGUUUGAAGAAAACAGAAAAACAACUAAUACCAGAAAAACAACUAAUACCUAAUUGUGCUGUUAUCUUGACUGUGUAAUUGCAUCAAGAAUGUGGAGGUUAGUGGAGCAUUUAGCUUCUUUAAACUUGGCAGUGGCAGCAGAAUUGGUUUUUGGACAGAUUUCUGGGUUAGUCCCUCUACUCUAAAGGAACUUUUUCCUUCACUUUUCAGAAUUGCUUUAUUACCACAAGGCUCAGUUGCAGAUCAUUGGGAUCUUACUACCCUCUCUUGGUCCGUCUCCUUUAGAAGAAGCUUGAAAGAAAAGGAAAUAGUAGCCUUUAGUUCCUUAUUGGCUCUUCUUGUGCCAAAAAAAGUGUUUGAUGUUGACGACUCUAAGGCUUGGUCAACUGGAGAGCAUUCUCUGUUAAAUCUCUCUCAGCCCACCUGAACUCUACCUCCCCAAUGGAUAGAAAGCUCUUUAAAGCCCUAUGGAAAUCAGGCUGCCCUCGAAGAGUGAACAUUCUGAUGUGGAUCAUGUUUUACGAGUCCCUAAAUUGUGCAAAAAUUCUUCAAAAGAAGUCCCCAAGCAAAUGCCUCCAGAUUUCAGUUUGCCCUCUCUCUCCUUGGUGAUUCAGUUAUUGGAGGGUCCGCCUUUACCUAAGAAGCCUCGGCUGAUUUAGUUAAAUCUAUUAAAAACUCUUUUAGUGGAGUUGUGGUUUGAACGUAUCAGCGAAACUUUCAUGACAUGUAAAAACUAAACUUAGGAAUUUUCAAUUCAAUGCAAUGCAGCAGCUUGGUGCUCUCAAAACAAGAAUUUUACAAAUGACUCCACUCAAGACCUUUGUCUCAACUGGGCAGUUUUUCUAUCUCUGACAGUUUCCUAGGCCUACUUCUGAUGUGGUGUUCCCUAUCUGGACUUCCAUUUACACUUUUGUUGUAUUAAGAAGGCUCAGCCUUUGUACUGUCUGACAUUGUGUUUCUGCCCUAUUUUCUUUUCUAGUUUUCGGUGGUUUUUUAGAUUUGCUGUAAUAGGCUGGAUUUCGCUCUCAUUGUAAUAGGCUGGAUUUUGUCCUCAUUGUUGUGAUAGGCUAGUCUUACUUGGGUUAUGAUGUUUUGGUGCUAAGAGGGUGUCAACCUAGUUGAGAUGUCCAGGUGCACCUUCUGAUCCCCUAGUUCUAGUUUCUUUCUCUUGUACAUUGAGUUCUUUUUUUUUUUUCUGAAACAGAGACAAAAACUUCUUUAUUAAUAAGAACUCUAAGUACAAGAAAUUUAUACAAAGAGAGCAAUAAAGAAGAAAAAGAAAGGGGAAACCCAUAGGAUCAGGAGGCGCACCCGGACAUCUCAACUAGGUUGACAACUCCAUAGCACCAAUCAUCAUAUGCCGAGAAAGAAAACAUCAAAGCAACACAAAAACCAACAGAGGAGCAACCUAAUAACAAUCGGCCUAUUACAAGGGACCAGAAAAAACGAUAAAAAAAAUGAACAGAAAGAAGUUUGUUAUUAAUAAUAAAGAAGUUUGUCUCCGUUUAAAAAAAAAUACUAAAUAACAAAUCUACAAUAAUAAAUAAAUACAUAAUUCUAUAGUUUCCAUUAGAAGACUUCCCCAUUUUACCCUUUUAUUCUAAAUUUCUAAGAAAACACUUAUGUUUCCUUUUAGGUACAAUUCCAGCUCAUUGAGAAUUGAGACCAAAGUUUCAACAAAGUGAUGACAUUUAAAUUUCACAUAAAUUUGUAAGCAAAUCAAAAUUUUGUGUGAUUUUGAAAAUUUUAUAAUUAUCAAUAUCAUGAUGCUGGUCACAACUAGAAGGCACAAAACUUAAAACAAUGUGUAUAUGUGUAAACCUACCCGUUAACCAUGAGCACCACUCUAUUACCUCGUGUUAUUGGAACAUAAUUAGUUUCCUGCAAAUAUUACAAAAUUAUUUUAGAACAAGAAUGCUGGCUAAAUUGAACCCCAUCGUUCCUUUUAGGGAAAAAAGAAUAAUGAGACAGAAUGCACCCAUAAAAAUGUAAGAAUACAAGGUUAAAAUUUUGAUAAUUGUGUUUUAGAUAUGAAUAAUUGUUGAUUAUUUCCAUUCUUGUAUUAUAUUUUAUUGUAUUGGUAGUACUAUAUUUACCAAAAAAAAAUUUCCUUCUUUGGGUUCUUCUAUUUAAGAAAACUCUUCUCUCUUUGUGAAAUAUACAGAAAAUUAUAUUAUUUUGGCAUGGUAUCGGCUGAAACCCUGAAAACCCUAAUGUUUUGAAAAACCUAAAAAAAAUUAUAAAUCUCUUACAGCACCUCGCUGCCCACAUAUGUCCACCGCCUCGAGGGUCGUCGCCACCAAUCGCUCUACUCCAAUCAGUCGCCGCAGCCGAACAUCACCGACAACCACUUUUUUCUUGCACCUAGACAUCUCAACUAGGCUGACACCCCCCUUAACAUCCUUUGUGUUGAUUUCUUGUUUUUAUUUUAUUUGCUUAUACUGAUUUAUAGUCCUAGCUUGUUGUAUUCUUGUAAGAUUUUAUCAUUUAUCUUGGG